rnacentral:rRNA from 1 species
GACGAACCGUGCAAACGUUAUUCGGAAUCACUGGGCAUAAAGGGCGCGUAGGCGGCUUUCUAAGUCAGGGGUGAAAUCCGGCAGCUCAACUGUCGCAGUGCCUUUGAUACUGGAGAGCUCGAGGGAGGUAGGGGUCUGUGGAACUUCCGGUGGAGCGGUGAAAUGCGUUGAUAUCGGAAGGAACGCCGGUGGCGAAAACGACGGACUGGAUCUCUUCUGACGCUGAGGCGCGAAAGCCAGGGGAGCAAACGGG